rnacentral:rRNA from 1 species
UACGGAGGGGGCUAGCGUUGUUCGGAAUUACUGGGCGUAAAGCGUGCGCAGGCGGUUUUUAAGUCUGUCGUGAAAGCCCCGGGCUCAACCUGGGAAUUGCGAUGGAGACUGCAAGGCUUGAAUCUGGCAGAGGAUGGUGGAAUUCCCGGUGUAGCGGUGAAAUGCGUAGAGAUCGGGAGGAACAUCAGUGGCGAAGGCGGCCAUCUGGGACAACACUGACGCUGAAGCACGAAAGCGUGGGGAGCAAACAGG